UUACGGAAGGCAGCAGUGGGGAGUAUUGGUCAAUGGACGAAAGUCUGAACCAGCCAUGCCGCGUGAAGGAUGAAGGCCCUCUGGGUUGUAAACUUCUUUUAUCUGGGACGAAAAAAGGGUAUUCUUACUCACUUGACGGUACCAGAGGAAUAAGCACCGGCUAACUCCGUGCCAGCAGCCGCGGUAAUACGGAGGGUGCAAGCGUUAUCCGGAUUCACUGGGUUUAAAGGGAGCGUAGGUGGGCUGAUAAGUCAGUGGUGAAAUCUCCGGGCUUAACCCGGAAACUGCCAUUGAUACUAUCAGUCUUGAAUUAUCUGGAGGUAAGCGGAAUAUGUCAUGUAGCGGUGAAAUGCUUAGAUAUGACAUAGAACACCAAUUGCGAAGGCAGCUUGCUACGGAUUGAUUGACACUGAGGCUCGAAAGCGUGGGGAUCAAACAGGAUUAGAUACCCGGGU
rnacentral:rRNA from 1 species